AUGAUGUCCUUUUAUGGAUUAUCCAUUGGGGUGAAUAAGCGAAUGGACUUCUUUAGAGCUAGGUUAUUGUGGCAAGAAGAUGAUAAAAAGAAGAAGUAUCAUCUGGUUAAAUGGUCCGAUGUCUGCAGACCUAAGGACAUGGGUGGUUUGGGGAUUAAAAACCUAGCUCUGAUGAAUAAAACUCUCUUGAGCAGAUGGUGGUGGAAAAUCUACAACACGGAGGGGCUAUGGCAAGAGAUUAUCUCAAAAAAAUAUCAAGGAUCCAAUCUGUUGGAAACUUAUCUGUUAAACAAGGUGACUCCCAAUUUUGGAAGGAGUUAUUAA
rnacentral:rRNA from 1 species